rnacentral:rRNA from 1 species
UACGUAGGGUGCGAGCGUUGUCCGGAAUUACUGGGCGUAAAGAGCUCGUAGGUGGUUUGUCGCGUUGUUCGUGAAAUCUCACGGCUUAACUGUGAGCGUGCGGGCGAUACGGGCAGACUAGAGUACUGCAGGGGAGACUGGAAUUCCUGGUGUAGCGGUGGAAUGCGCAGAUAUCAGGAGGAACACCGGUGGCGAAGGCGGGUCUCUGGGUAGUAACUGACGCUGAGGAACGAAAGCGUGGGUAGCGAACAGG